GAAGCAGUAGCAGAGUGGUAGUGGCAUUUUGGUGCAGUGGCAGGUCGGGGGUUCGAAUCCCCUCGGCGCA
rnacentral:tRNA from 1 species